CGGGGAAUCAGGGUUCGAUUCCGGAGAGGGAGCCUGAGAAACGGCUACCACAUCCAAGGAAGGCAGCAGGCGCGCAAAUUACCCACUCCCGGCACGGGGAGGUAGUGACGAAAAAUAACGAUACGGGACUCAUCCGAGGCCCCGUAAUCGGAAUGAGUACACUCUAAAGACUUUAACGAGUAUCCAUUGGAGGGCAAGUCUGGUGCCAGCAGCCGCGGUAAUUCCAGCUCCAAUAGCGUAUAUUAAAGCUGUUGCGGUUAAAAAGCUCGUAGUCGGACUUGUGUCCCACGCUGCCGGUUCACCGCCCGUCGGUGUCUAACUGGCACGCACGUGCGGACGUCCUGCCGGUGGCCCGAGCCGGCGCCCGUCGGUUGUGUGGUUCGGCAACGUUCCUCACGCCUCGGGUCGUCUCGGGGAGGGCCUACACAAUCCCGUCGCGGUGCUCUUGACCGAGUGUCUCGAUGGGCCGGCACGUUUACUUUGAACAAAUUAGAGUGCUUAAAGCAGGCAGCAGCCGCCUGAAUACCGAGUGCAUGGAAUAAUGGAAUAGGACCUCGGUUCUAUUUUGUUGGUUUUCGGAAGCCCCGAGGUAAUGAUCAAAAGGGACAGACGGGGGCAUUCGUAUUGCGACGUUAGAGGUGAAAUUCUUGGAUCGUCGCAAGACGGACAGAAGCGAAAGCAUUUGCCAAGAAUGUUUUCUCUGAUCAAGAACGAAAGUUAGAGGUUCGAAGGCGAUCAGAUACCGCCCUAGUUCUAACCAUAAACGAUGCCAGCCAGCAAUCCGCCGAAGUUCCUCCGAUGACUCGGCGGGCGGCUUCCGGGAAACCAAAGCUUUUGGGUUCCGGGGGAAGUAUGGUUGCAAAGCUGAAACUUAAAGGAAUUGACGGAAGGGCACCACCAGGAGUGGAGCCUGCGGCUUAAUUUGACUCAACACGGGAAACCUCACCAGGCCCAGACACCGGGAGGAUUGACAGAUUGAGAGCUCUUUCUUGAUUCGGUGGGUGGUGGUGCAUGGCCGUUCUUAGUUGGUGGAGCGAUUUGUCUGGUUAAUUCCGAUAACGAACGAGACUCUAGCCUGCUAAAUAGACGGGCGAUCCGCUUGCGGGUCGACUCGAUUUGCUUCUUAGAGGGACAAGUGGCGUUCCUAGCCACGCGAAAUUGAGCAAUAACAGGUCUGUGAUGCCCUUAGAUGUCCGGGGCCGCACGCGCGCUACAAUGAGGUACGCAGUGUGCCCGCAAAGCCUGAUCCGAAAGGAUUGGGUAAUCAUUUAAAUUUACCUCGUAAUAGGGAUUGAGCAUUGUAACUAUUGCUCAUGAACGAGGAAUUCCUAGUAAGCGCGAGUCAUAAGCUUGCGUUGACUACGUCCCUGCCCUUUGUACACACCGCCCGUCGCUACUACCGAUUGAAUGGUUUAGCGAGAUUCUCGGAUUGGGCCAUAUUCGCUCGCAAGGGUGAGCAUGGUCUGAGAAGAAACUCAAGCUUGAUCAUUUAGAGGAAGUAAAAGUCGUAACAAGGUUUUCGUAGGUGAACCUGCGUAAGGAUCAUU
rnacentral:rRNA from 1 species